UCUGCCUACGGGACGCAGCAGUGGGGAAUAUUGGGCAAUGGGCGCAAGCCUGACCCAGCGACGCCGCGUGAGGGAAGACGGUCUUCGGAUUGUAAACCUCUUUCAGCAGGGAAGACAAAAGGACGGUACCUGAGGAAUAAGCCACGGCUAACUACGUGCCAGCAGCCGCGGUAAUACGUAGGUGGCAAGCGUUAUCCGGAUUUAUUGGGUGUAAAGGGCGUGUAGGCGGGAGCGCAAGUCAGAUGUGAAAACUCAGGGCUCAACCCUGAGCCU
rnacentral:rRNA from 1 species